rnacentral:rRNA from 1 species
UACGUAGGUGGCAAGCGUUGUCCGGAAUUACUGGGCGUAAAGCGUGCGCAGGCGGUUUUGUAAGACAGGUGUGAAAGCCCCGGGCUCAACCUGGGAAUUGCAUUCGAGACUGAAUAGCUAGGGUACGGUAGAGGGAAGCGGAAUUUCCGGUGUAGCGGUGAAAUGCGUAGAUAUCGGAAGGAACAUCAGUGGCGAAAGCGGCUUCCUGGACCAGUACCGACGUUCAGGCACGAAAGCGUGGGGAGCAAACAGG